rnacentral:rRNA from 1 species
GUGCCAGCCGCCGCGGUAAUACGGCGGGGGUUAGCGUUGUUCGGAAUUACUGGGCGUAAAGCGCACGUAGGUGGAUCGGAAAGUUGGGGGUGAAAUCCCGGGGCUCAACCCCGGAACUGCCUCCAAAACUACUGGUCUAGAGUUCGAGAGAGGUGAGUGGAAGUCCGAGUGUAGAGGUGAAAUUCGUAGAUAUUCGGAGGAACACCAGUGGCGAAGGCGGCUCACUGGCUCGAUACUGACGCUGAGGUGCGAAAGUGUGGGGAGCAAACAGGAUUAGAUACCCGGGUAGUCC